CAACUUUUGAAUCCACCGAAGUAUAUAUAUUCAUGUAUAAGGAUAUUACUCCUAUAUUAGUUAAUUACACUUUAGUUAGUAAUUAGGAUAUCAACCCCACCUUUAUAUUCUUCCACCGUUUACACAGAGAGAGAGAGAGAGAGAGCAAAGGAGAAGGCGGCGGCCAUUUUUCUCCUUUAAGGUCUGGUCCAGCCAUGGCCAUCAUUGUUCAACACCAAUUUCUUUUCGGAAGUCAAGGAAACUUAACCGGUAUCAAUUCAAUGAAGUAGUUUGCACGCGUGAUGAGCUAGACGCUACUUUUUGGUUAAGGUAGAUAGCAAGUUGUGGACCGAUUGAAGUGUUAGAAUAACCGUGGAGAAUCAAGCGGUGUCUAAUGAACCUGCAACAAAUGGUAGUGCUUCUGAACAAGCUGUGAAGAAGAGGGUGACAUUAAUGCAAGACAGACGUUCCUCGGGAAGUUUUUUGUGCCCGAAUAAUAAUACCAAAUGUGAUGGCGCGCCUAAGAAGAUAAUGGGAAGCAAAGCUAAAAGGACAUUGCCGUGGAUUUUCUUUCGUCUCAGCUGCAAGCAAGCAUCCUUGCCGAUUAGUAGUACUUAAUUGAUUAUUAAAAGUACCCCUAAAUUAACCUAGCUCCCUAGUAGUCCGCUUUGCCUCACUUGAUGUACUGCAUGCCCAAGAUCAUAUGUAAGUACUCAAUGCCAUUUGCACUCAUGAGGCAAUGCGUAUCCCUUAAUUGGUAAAUAAAUGAACUGAAAGUCUUAUGUUCUGCCCCAAAGCUGUUGAGCUUUGGAAUGCAAUCACUUUA